rnacentral:sRNA from 1 species
AUAUUGUACGUUGAGUGCAGGUGAGAAGCUGCGUUCAGGUUCGAGCCGAGCGAAGCGAGACAGCGUUGCGCUUGCCGCAACGACCCGAAGGGCGAG